UGCACCUACCGAAAACACAAAAGAAAUGUGUUGUUGAAUUAAUCAACAAACAUGUUCUUGAUACAACUUCUUGUUGUACCUACCAAAAACAUGUUCUUUACAUUCAUUUCGAGAUCUGCCUUUUAAUUUUAUUAAAUCUGAAUUCCGAAUCUCACAUACUGAGUAUAUUGUCUUCGUACCAAGUAGAAGUAGAAGUUGAACGGCCCAAAAGAUAAUCCAGUGAGUGCAGUCGGCAAGUUACUGCGAUUUAUUCUUUUUGAAUUUCACAACGGCCAGUCUCCCUCCACCAUCUCUCUCUGUAAUGCACUUUUCUCCUCCUUGUCAACUGUAUGACUGUUUCCUUCCUCUCUUGCACUUAGGGUUAGGGUUUUCUUCUCCACUACAUCUCUCGCUGAAAGCUGUUCUCUUUCUCGAUGUUUGCUCACCAUUCUUAACCGGAGAUCAACACCAAUCAGAUUGGUGAAGACCAUCUCUCUGCCUCCGCAGGUCACAUUCCUUUCAACGAGAUAGAAGAAAUCCCCAAUCAUCCAUGUACCCAGCCACCGGAAGGACCUAAUCAGCUGACGAUCUCGUUACGUUUUCGAUGAUGUUGCUCGGUCGAUGCUGCGUUGUAGCUAUUGGGUGGUUCUACUGAGCCGCAGGGGAUGGAGAUAGCUCAACAGAAUCAUAUGGUAACUUUUGUUGUUUCUAUGUGUUUCGAACCGGUGUAGCAAUCCGCGCAGUCCUUGGAUAGGUUUCGAAAGAAGAGGAAUGCUAGAUGUUUCGAGAACAAAGUUAGAUACCAGGAAGUGGCUUUCAUUUUAUGAUACACCUGCGGACGAGACGACUCUUUGAGUUUACCAAGUUCUUAGGCCUAGGGGUACCCUUAGUAUUAAGGUAGCUUUGUUGCACGUGGGAUAUUAGCAGAGUCCUGAGUAGUAUCUGUUAGGAACUAGGAUUAUACAAUGGUUGCUUCUUUGAACAUAUUUCUUUUGCAUUCCUUGGAUCAAUAACGUAGUAUUCUUGUAUAGAGCUAAGCUGGAAAGUUUCUCUCUCUCUCUGCUCUGCUCUGCUCUGGUUUGUUAAUUCUUCCUCAUACUUGUGUGCUAUAGGUUAAAAAACCUGCUUCUAUUCAAACUAGUUCACUACUUUUUUGUUAACAAGUUUGGCGACCAUAUAGGUUAUUUUUUAGUGGCUCCGGUUUCAAUGUCCAUAUGAGAAAUAAUCUCAAUAACAUAACUACAGCUAAUGUUCAAACCUUACAUAUAUAGUGUCAUAUAAACACAAACGAUUGAGAAGAAAGAAUCUCACAUGUUACUUAAGUUGGCUUGGGAUCUCAUCAACAUCACCAGUAACAUCUUCCAACUCUCGCAGUGAAGAAGGUGCUCACGGGGAUAUUCUCGGCGUUUUCUUCAUCCCCGACUUCCUUUUGCUGCGCAUACACUUCUUUCACGAUCUUCUCAUUUAGCUGAAGAAACAAAACUAUUAGAAAUCAAAACUAAUAAUAUAUUUAUGAUUACUUCUUUACAGACAGAUUGUGGAGAGUUAAACAUGUCUAGUACAUUAGGUGUGAGUCUGACACAUAAAAAAAAGCACUACUAAUAAGAUGGUUGGGUGAGGAAUGAAAGGAAGGUGUCCUUUAUCUUUACUUCUCGUGGGUUAAUAACCUAAGGAUCAAUUGUGUUUUUCCAUCCUUCAAAAUCUAUGGGAGAACCAGCAUCAAGCAGCUCGAACACAUUCACAUAGAAGGUUGGUGUUGAGGAAACUCCUCUUGAAACGCUAUACUGCAAUUCAGAACAAAGGCAAAACAAUUUUUAGAGUGGACCAAACUUAUCAUGAAAGCUAAGUAAUGAGUAAUGACAGAUAGUAAGGCAAGCUAUUAGAACUCAAGCUUCUACUGCAAGUCUGCAAACAAAAAUAAUGAUUAAUGAGUAGUGACUAUGCAGUGAAGGAUCCAUAUCACUCCGUUUGGUUAUCUAGUCCAGGAUUACAGAGGACCGAACAGAAUAAGCCAUUUGAAUUCCUUGCCUAGUAAAGAUAAUAAAACUGAGAAGAUUAAGAAGCUGAAGGGAUCACCUUGAAGGAAACUCGAGUGUCAAGAUCAUAUUUUGAGUUGCGGAAGCCAGAUUUAAGAGGAUAGUGAUACGAGCUACCUAAUGUAACUGUCCCCAGUUUGACUAAUUUGUUCACAACUGCAGGUCUUGGCAUGAAUUGUGUUUGCGAGUUGUAGAACAGUGCCUGUUUUAAACAAAUAUCAACCAAAACCAUCAAUAAUCAUCUUAGACAAAUAUAAAACACCAGACAAAGGCUUCACUGAACCACAGUGAAUAUAUGACGCAUACAUAAACAUUCAUUUCAAGAAUGAAGAAACAGAACUGCUGUUACACAUUUUCUCUGUCAAAGUUUGGAUUUUAAAAUACACUUAUCGUACCUGGUGCUUGAAGAUCCCUUCCAGCAAACUGAACGUGGCAUUGGCGUUUAUGAUCUGGCCUAUAGCGAGAUCUGAAUUUACAUCCUCUGGAAGAAACAAUUCCUGGAGAGUUCCCAGUUCUGACUUUCACUUGGUAUUGAACUCAUAUAUUUAAGACGAGCAACCCACACACGAGACACCUGAGAGUUUUUAUUCGAAACUGGUUCCCAAACAAGCUCCUCGUUGCCUUUCAGCUCAGAAUCAAUCGCAACAGUAGACGAGCUUACUCCACCAACAGCUUGGUCAAAGUAAAGAAUCCGUUGAAAAGAAACCGACUCGGUGAGCUUAGAAGAAGAGUCAUUCAAGCACCCAGCACCAGAUAGAUUGAUAUUUGAUAUGUGAAGGCCAUGAGGAAGUGAGAAGAGGAGUCUCCACGUUAACAGUCUGAUCAAGAAGCCAGAGAUGGUAAAACCACCCAGCUUUGGUCGUCUUCGUCCGUAAAGAUAGCAUCAUGCACAAGCUGAAUCUUUUCAUUUGGCAUGAACCCCUCAGCCUUUCUCGCAAUCAAACUCGAAAGAAGCACACUGCAGAAUCAAAAGAGCUAAUAGUGUAACUAAAACAUGUAAAAAUCAGAAAUAGUGUAACUAAAACAUGUUACUCUAUGAAACUAUUUCAGGAGAGGGAAAACGAACAUACAUAGGACGGUAAAUCACAAUUCUAUCCGGUUUAAGCAUACUCUAUACAUUCAGUAUCUUAUAUCCCCAUCAGCAAGUAGUUAAGUACAUAGCGAUGAGCCCGACCUUACAUGUUAUUCUCUCAGCUACUUUUCAACAAAACCACCGUUGCUCAAGAACACAACCAAAGGAUAGAGCGCAUUGUUUAAGAACACAACCAAAGGAUAAAGCAGAAACACCUCAAACUUUAGAACUGAAGCAAGAAGCUUUUCGUACAAAUGUUUUCAUUAAUAAAUCUAAGCGGUUACAAAGCAAGAAACAGCAUCGUACAAACUACGAUGUGCGAACCAAACUAAAGCCCCGACAUAAAGUUCAAGGGAAUACAAGGAUAGAGACACAAACUUGAAUAAGUUUGAUAAAACGUUAAAACAGAGACAAACUGAUGCUCAUAGAGCUUAUCGAAACAAGAUGAAAUAGCUCAAAGAGCUUUAUUGUGCAGAGAAAUGAGAAAUGAGAAAUGAGAAAGGAGAAAGGAACAAGCUUGAGCUUGUCAUUCCGCUGCUGCCUCUCCCGAAGCCUCUUUUCUAGCAGCCUUCCUCUCUUUCUUUUGCUCCCGCCCAUACAAACCUUGCAUGUGUAGUGACAACAUAGGGUUUGGUUCAGCUGCCACUCCUCGUCGCAUCCGCAUCCGUCACACACUGUUUUUUUUGGAACCGCACCCGGGGUGAUGGGUACUCCUAUGGUUGAACUCUUCUGCGUCCUAUAUAUAUCGUCCCGACAUUGUUUUUGUUUGUUUGUGUGAGAGAAGAAGAGAGAGUCUCAAUAUAUAGAAGAAGAGAACUGGUGGGAUGACAUUUGAGAGACGAGAGAGUCUCAAUAUAUUGAAGAAGAGAACUGGUGGGAAGUCAUUUGCUUCAUUUAUUGGAGGGACCAACCCACUUUUGAAGUUUCAUUAGUAUAGGGGAAUCUUUUCAUUUUCCCUUUUUACUUGUUUCAUUGUUUCAGGAAAUAUAAUAAUUCAACAUACAUGCAGUAUCAAUCACUGGAACCGUAAAUCUUUUUCUCUAGACAAUAUUCAACUCAGAGGCAUAACGCACGAUAUCUUACAUUAUGAUAUUGAUUUUGUUAUAACAAAGAGAGCAUUAUCGCUAUCUUUCUCAGUAUUUUCUAUUAGUCUCCACUUUUCUUUUCUUCUUUGUUGUUAUGAAAAGAGACAACUAGUAUACUACUUCAAGCUAACAAGGAUACUGUAAUGACCCCAACCCUAGGUUUUGCCCAAAGGUCAAGUCAUUUUUCUUUAGAGAGAGAGAGAGAGAGAGAGAGAGAGAGAGAGAGAGAGAGAGAGAGAGAGGGAGGGAAGGAAGAAGCUCACCAAGAGUCCUCGCCGGAGCCACCGCACGCCAGGACGUCAUCAAGCUCGUCAUCACCAUCAACCGCAGCUCGAGGCCAUCAUCGUGUUCCUCUCGUCAAGACGAAGCCGUAGACACCAACCGCGUCGCGAUCGGAGCCUGGACGAAGCCGUACGCGCCCCCCAAAGAUUCGCCUCUGCGCGCGUGAGUUCCACGCGCCGCCGCCGGACCACCGUCCUCCGCCGCAGCGCUGCCGCCGGACCACCGUUCUCCGCCGCAGCUCCGCCGUCGCCGCCGGCCAACUUACCGAUUUGGAGUCCAUUUGAGCAGCUGGAGUUCAUAUAUACCACUUCUCUUCAUUGCUAAGGUGAGACCGAUGAGCAGGAGUGAUUUUUCGGACCGGUGCUAUUGGGCUUUUGGGCUUCUAUCGUUUUAUCGAUUUUAUCGUUAUCGGGCCUCUAGGCCUUUGGACUUUUAUCGUUAUGGUAUUUCGUAUUUUGGAUUCUCGGUUUAUGUCGUACCUUAUGUUUCGGAUUUUAUUUUAUAUUAUGGAAUUCAUGCGUGGAUGUGGACUUUCAAAUAUUUAUAUAUGGAUAUUUAAGAUAUUUGUAUU